rnacentral:lncRNA from 1 species
CUCUACGCGUUUUGGUCCCUGUUUGGUGCUUUCUGUUUGCAGCUACGGCAGUGAGUAUGUAUGUGACGGACCCCGAGUCACCCGCGGCCUGGGACCCCUGCCUACCCUCCGUCUCGCCAGCCGAGCUGUGGAACUAGCGCGUGCCCCCUCGCCGACCUCGGCGUCUCCGAUCUGGGCAUAGGAACCAAUCAGAAACAAUCGCUUCAGCAAUCAAGACCAUUGUUCAUCAUGGAGGAACCCAUGGAUACCUCUGAGCCUCUAUCUGCAUUACCAUUCACUGGGCAGCAGUCUUUUGAGCCAAGUGGCAAAUUUGGACAGUAUCCAUCGAUGCAGAUGAACCACAUCCAGGCACUGGGGAAGUGGAGGACAUAGAACAGCUCAAUCAGUGUUUGAUCCAACACUUCCAUCUCAUUAAGACAAGUUUGAUUUUUCUUUGCUUUUUAUUUCAUGGAAUACAUGAGAAUCUCUUAACUGUUGGAGUUUCCAAGGAGGCAUACCUCAUGACUUCAGUUAAUGGAAAGAACAAAACUAAAAUGCUGUAUGGCCAAAGCCACAAAGGGAAGGAUCCACAAUUUACAUUCUUGGAGCUAUCAUCUGUACUGUACUGUUGUGAUCUACUGAUUGGCAUUGGCAUAGUAGUAGGGGUCAAGUGACAGAAUCCGUGCCAGCAGUCUCCAGGUUCAGAAGCAAUUCAAGACCCUGAUGAUAGCUCUCCAGCAACCAACACAUGGUGAUUGUGCCAACUUGUUGCUCAGUUAUAAUGCAGGGCCAGUGAUUGGUUUAAGUGAAGACCAUGGUUGAGAUCAUUUGUCUUUGGUCUAAUAGAAUUUGAGUCUAGUAGAAUUUGAGUCUCCAGGGAAAGAGCUACUUGACCAAAUUAAACUAGUAGCAGGUAGAGCAUGAAUGACAGCAUAUUAUACCAUCAAGAUGUUCUUAGAGCAGUGUAUGGAUGGAUCGAUUGUACUGCCAUCAGUUGUGACUGACGUUGUAUUCAAGGAGAAAGAGAAACUUGUUUAGAAAGCACUUUGAAAGUUUUUUGAGUACGGGGGUGCCCUGUAUCACCCCGUUAUGGUUGAACUUUCUCCUUCAAAAUUACCAGACUUGGCAGCAGUGGCAAAUUAUUGGGCUAAAAGACUUAAUCAGACAUAUUCUGGGUUCAAGGCUCCUAAUAUAAUACCUGGUGCAAACAUUAUACUUCCACUCAUUCAGAUGGUUGCAUCCUGCCAGGCAUCCAGUGGGACUGGGAAUAUGGACACUUGAACAUUAAACAUCCUGAAGAAUUUUGGAAUGACAGGUUACAAGUGAACAUAAUCAGUUCUCUAUAUUAAAAAAAAAAAAAGAUUUGGGCAUAGAUUGGGCUCACAUAAUCUUUAGAGAGAUUUUUUCAUUUUUGUGAAAGUACAGAAAUUCUUAACUGCUUAUGAAAUGCUGAUUGUUAAACAGCAUCCACAGCUAUUUUGUGUUGUUUCCCUGACCCCACCCUGAAGAAAAGAAAAAUUAUGGCAUAUUGAAAACAGCAGUAUGAUGUAAGAGAAAAGAUCACAAAUUCCUUGAGGGUGGGUCUUUUCCAUACUCAUAAGCCUAUUUAUAAUAUUCAGAGUAAUUUAUUGACACAUAUUAAUAUUCCCUCCUAUCCCAUUAAUUGCCAAAUCAUCAAACAUUUAUUGAGCACCUACUCUGUGUAGGGUGUAAGCAGUACUGGGGACUUACAGUGAUAAAAGACAUAGUUUUAGCCUUAAGUGAUGUACUGUUUCACUGAAGAGAUGGAAUAUAAGAAGCCAAGUAAUUUAUGGAAUUCUCUUCUUUGUUUUUCUUUUUUUUUUUUGGCAGUGGAGUCUUGCUCUUUAAAUAGAGCAAGGCUAGUCUGGAACUCCUGGGCUCAUGUGGUCCUCCCGCCUUAGCUUUCAGUGUAGCUGGGACUACAGGUGUGAACACAGCUUGGAAAUCUCUUAACCAUGGGAGUUAAGUCUCAAAAUUCUGGUGAUACAAGUGGUUGAAACUUAAAACUGUAUUUAAAAAAUAGGAUUCGUGAAUUUGAGAUAGUUCAUAAGUCUGCAAAAGGCUGUAUAAAUACAUAUUUUACAUUUACUAUUAUUAAUUUUGUAGUAAAUUUGAGUACAGCACUCUCUUUAUCUGUGGAAACUUCAGACUCUCCCCUAUUACUUUAAUUUCAGUGAGACAUUAUUAAAUAUAAGUGGGCUUACACAUUUGUUUUGCUUUACUGACAAAUAAUACACAACUUGGAGGCUUUUUUUUCCUUUCUAUUCUUCCUCUAAAUGUUCAACACUUUUCUGAUUUUGUGAUUUGAGGUUGUUUAAUAGCUUCCUGAGGCUCCAUUGAGACCGUAUAUACGUGACACUUAACAGUCUAGCCUUCCUCGGUACAUAUAGAUAUAUGAUGGUGGCUUUGCCUGUAGUAAAUUCAUGCCAAAACAUAGGCUUUCAGUGCCUAUUACAUAUGGCUUUCAGCUCUCUCUACUGAGGGAUGUAGGAGUUUAUUUCUGAGGUCUGAGCCUCUUUUCCUUUACUUCCUUUACUCUUUCCUAAGCCUUCUUUAUAAAAACUAUGCAUGUUCUAUUGUUUUCCUUUUUGAUUCCCUUUCUUUUAUUAUCCCCAGUAGGAGUGACUUGUAAUUCUCAUAUGUUAGAAAGGCAGAUCUCCUGGUUGAAGAAAAGAUCCACCCAAGCAAGUCAGCAUGUUUAAUAAUUUUUGAGGGGGAUCUCAAAUGUGGGAAGGAUUGUUAUAUAAGACAACCAAAUGAUGACAUGAGACAAUAAAUGCUAUAGGAAUUAUGGAGGAAUAAUUAGCUAUUUAUUUUCUUGGUUAGGGAAGAGAUAUUAUUAGUUGUAGAAGUAAUUACUAACUUCUACAUUUUUUAUUGUGGAAAUCAAAAAUAUAUA